rnacentral:rRNA from 1 species
CCGAUGGCGACCGGCGCACGGGUGAGUAACACGUAUCCAACCUGCCGAUAACUCGGGGAUAGCCUUUCGAAAGAAAGAUUAAUAUCCGAUAGGAUAUCAAGGUCGCAUGAUCUUGAUAUUAAAGAAUUUCGGUUAUCGAUGGGGAUGCGUUCCAUUAGUUAGUUGGCGGGGUAACGGCCCACCAAGACGACGAUGGAUAGGGGUUCUGAGAGGAAGGUCCCCCACAUUGGAACUGAGACACGGUCCAAACUCCUACGGGAGGCAGCAG